GUGACUGUGGGGCCAGCGGGCGGGGUAAUACGAAGGUGGGAAGCGUGGUUCGGGUUGACUGGGCGUACAGGGGGCGUAGGCGGUUGGCUAAGCCCUCCGUGAAAUCCCCAGGCUUAACCUGGAAAGUGCAGAGGGGACUGUUCAGCUAGAGGAUGGGAGAGGAGCGCGGAAUUCCCGGUGUAGCGGUGAAAUGCGUAGAGAUCGGGAGGAAGGCCGGUGGCGAAGGCGGCGCUCUGGAACAUUUCUGACGCUGAGGCUCGAAAGCGUGGGGAGCAAACAGGAUUAGAUACCCGAGUAGUC
rnacentral:rRNA from 1 species